rnacentral:rRNA from 1 species
CCCUUAGAUGUUCUGGGCUGCACGCGCGCUACACUGAAGCUAUCAACACGUUUUCCCUCCCUGAGAAGGGCGGGUAACCUUUUGAAUCAGCUUCGUGGUAGGGAUCGGAGCUUGCAAUUGUUCCCCGUGAACCAGGAAUUCCUAGUAGACGCGAGUCAUAAGCUCGCAUCGAUUAAGUCCCUGCCCUUUGUACACACCGCCCGUCGCUACUACCGAUUGAACGUUUUAGUGAGGCAUUUGGACCGACGCAUCUCAGUUUAACCGCUGGUUUGUGUUGGAAAGACUUCCAAACUUGAGCGUUUAGAGGAAGUAAAAGUCGUAACA